rnacentral:rRNA from 1 species
AUGGCUCAGGAUGAACGCUAGCGGCAGGCUUAACACAUGCAAGUCGAGGGGCAGCGCGAGGUAGCAAUACUUGGCGGCGACCGGCGAAAGGGUGCGUAACGCGUGAGCAACUUGCCCGUAUCUGGGACAUAAGCGGUGGAAACGCCGUCUAAUUUCCCAUAACAACAGAGGCCGCAUGACCUUUGUUUGAAAGAUCCGUCGGAUACGGAUGGGCUCGCGAGACAUUAGCUAGUCGGCGUGGUAACGGCACACCGAGGCGACGAUGUCUAGGGGUUCUGAGAGGAAGGUCCCCCACACUGGAACUGAGACACGGUCCAGACUCCUACGGGAGGCAGCAGUGAGGAAUAUUGGUCAAUGGGCGCAAGCCUGAACCAGCCAUGCCGCGUGAAGGAAAUAAGGCCCUAUGGGUCGUAAACUUCUUUUGUGGUGGAGCAAUAAGGUGUACGUGUACACCGAUGAGAGUACAUCACGAAUAAGCAUCGGCUAACUCCGUGCCAGCCGCGGC